rnacentral:rRNA from 1 species
CCUACGGGAGGCAGCAGUGGGGAAUAUUGGACAAUGGGGGCAACCCUGAUCCAGCCAUGCCGCGUGUGUGAAGAAGGCCCUCGGGUUGUAAAGCACUUUCAGUGAGGAAGAACGCCUGGUGGUUAAUACCCAUCAGGAAAGACAUCACUCACAGAAGAAGCACCGGCUAACUCCGUGCCAGCAGCCGCGGUAAUACGGAGGGUGCGAGCGUUAAUCGGAAUUACUGGGCGUAAAGCGCGCGUAGGUGGCUUGAUAAGCCGGUUGUGAAAGCCCCGGGCUCAACCUGGGAACGGCAUCCGGAACUGUCAAGCUAGAGUGCAGGAUAGGAAGGUAGAAUUCCCGGUGUAGCGGUGAAAUGCGUAGAGAUCGGGAGGAAUACCAGUGGCGAAGGCGGCCUUCUGGACUGACACUGACACUGAGGUGCGAAAGCGUGGGUAGCAAACAGGAUUAGAUACCCGGGUAGUC